AGCGAACGCUGGCGGCAGGCUUAACACAUGCAAGUCGAGCGGGCCUUUCGGGGUCAGCGGCGGACGGGUGAGUAACGCGUGGGAACGUGCCCUCUGGUUCGGAAUAACUCAGGGAAACUUGAGCUAAUACCGGAUACGCCCUUUUGGGGAAAGGCUUGCUGCCGGAGGAUCGGCCCGCGUCAGAUUAGCUAGUUGGUGAGGUAACGGCUCACCAAGGCGACGAUCAGUAGCUGGUCUGAGAGGAUGAUCAGCCACACUGGGACUGAGACACGGCCCAGACUCCUACGGGAGGCAGCAGUGGGGAAUAUUGGACAAUGGGCGCAAGCCUGAUCCAGCCAUGCCGCGUGAGUGAUGAAGGCCUUAGGGUUGUAAAGCUCUUUUAUCCGGGACGAUAAUGACGGUACCGGAGGAAUAAGCCCCGGCUAACUUCGUG
rnacentral:rRNA from 1 species